rnacentral:rRNA from 1 species
GGCAGCAGUGGGGAAUAUUGGACAAUGGGCGAAAGCCUGAUCCAGCCAUGCCGCGUGUGUGAAGAAGGUCUUCGGAUUGUAAAGCACUUUAAGUUGGGAGGAAGGGCAGUAAAUUAAUACUUUGCUGUUUUGACGUUACCGACAGAAUAAGCACCGGCUAACUCUGUGCCAGCAGCCGCGGUAAUACAGAGGGUGCAAGCGUUAAUCGGAAUUACUGGGCGUAAAGCGAGCGUAGGUGGUUCGUUAAGUUGGAUGUGAAAUCCCCGGGCUCAACCUGGGAACUGCAUUCAAAACUGACGAGCUAGAGUAUGGUAGAGGGUGGUGGAAUUUCCUGUGUAGCGGUGAAAUGCGUAGAUAUAGGAAGGAACACCAGUGGCGAAGGCGACCACCUGGACUGAUACUGACACUGGGGUGCGAAAGCGUGGGGAGCAAACAGGAUUAGAUACCCUGGUAGUCCACGCCGUAAACGAUGUCAACUAGCCGUUGGGAGCCUUGAGCUCUUAGUGGCGCAGCUAACGCAUUAAGUUGACCGCCUGGGGAGUACGGCCGCAAGGUUAAAACUCAAAUGAAUUGACGG